rnacentral:rRNA from 1 species
UACAGAGGUGGCGAGCGUUGUUCGGAUUUACUGGGCGUAAAACGUGCGUAGGCGGCUUCGUAUGUCGGGUGUGAAAUCUCACUGCUCAACGGUGAAACUGCACUCGAAACUGCGAUGGCUUGAGUUCGGGAGGGGAGAGCGGAAUUCUUGGUGUAGCGGUGAAAUGCGUUGAUAUCAAGAAGAACACCGGUGGCGAAGGCGGCUCUCUGGAACGAAACUGACGCUGAGGCACGAAAGCGUGGGGAGCAAACAGGAUUAGAUACCCUGGUAGUCCACGCUGUAAACGGUGCACACUUGGUAUGGGCGGAGUUGAUCCUGUCCGUGCCGGAGCUAACGCAUUAAGUGUGCUGCCUGGGGAGUACGGCCGCAAGGUUGAAACUCAAAGAAAUUGACGGGGACCCGCACAAGCGGAGGAGCAUGUGGCUCAAUUCGAUGCAACGCGAAGAACCUUACCAGGGCUUGACAUGCAGCUGCACGACCGCCGAAAGGCGGUUUCCUUCGAGGGUGCUGCACAGGUGCUGCAUGGCUGUCGUCAGUUCGUGCCGUGAGGUGUUGGGUUAAGUCCCGCAACGAACGCAACCCCUAUGCUCAGUUGCUACCGUCGGUGAUGAAUCGCCGGGCGCUCUGAGCAGACUGCCCGUACAAGCGGGAGGAAGGUGGGGACGACGUCAAGUCAGUAUGGCCCUUACGCCCUGGGCUGCACACGUGCUACAAUGGCAGGUACAAUGGGACGCGAAACCGCGAGGUGGAGCAAAUCCCCAAAACCUGCCCCAGUUCGGAUUGGAGUCUGCAACUCGACUCCAUGAAGUCGGAUUCGCUAGUAACGGCGCAUCAGCUACGGCGCCGUGAAUGCGUUCCCGGGCCU